GAUAUUUUAUAUAAGAAUAAUUUAACGUGCUUUUUAAAAAACCUAGCACAUAAGUAUAUCCCUGGUUAUGAAUAGUUCAAGUCUAUUGGAUUCCAUUUUUGGUCCAUAUUACUCAUUUUGCUUUACUGGGCUCUCACCAUUGUUCACAUUUUCAUGUUUCCUUAUUUUUUUCAGUUUGGUGGUUUUUCCCUCCUUUUAAAAAAUUGCAUUGUCAUGCUUCUCUGUAACCUUGGUGAGUCAGUUCAACCUCUAAUUACUUCAGUCUCCUUCCCUGCAAGAAAAGCUGUCAAAAUACAAGAACACUCAAAUGUUUUGCAUCAUCUCACACGCACACAGGGAUAAGGAGGGAUAUAAUUCUCCUGAAGAAGCAGAACAACUGGCAACAGCUGGCACAACAGCUUCUAAAGACCUAGUCUAACUCUGUCUUCAAAAUCAGCCUCAUACUGCCCCGAAAUAACAAUUACCCCAUCUGCACCAGGGCAAUCUCAUUGACCAGUUACAGUUAAUGACAUAAUAUCUGCUAUCAACUUUCAGCAUAGAUGUAACCAUUGCCAUAAUAUUUUGUAAGAUCAACAAAGUGUCAUCUGUACCUUAGGACAGUGGGAUAUUAGUUAGGUAACAGGAUGCACAAGGACAUUGCUCUCCUUUCUUUGGUAACCCCAUAUCAAACUGCUAUCAAUUACAUCUCCAGUCUUCAACAUAAUUUAGUUUUUAGAAAGGUGACUGGAUAAACCGGCAAAGAUAAUUUCUUAACCAAAAGCAAAUCAGAACAGAAUGAGUUAGUCUUUUUCUCCAGUUACCCAGCAUUCAAAGCUCUAACUGUAGUCAUGCUGUACUCAUUUUAGACCCUAAAGCAGUGUGACCAUUUGAUACAUAAUUUUUAACACAUGUUUUAUUAAUCCAUUCUUCCUGUGCUUCAUUUAAAAUACUGGAAACUAUAAAAAGAUCAGCGUGUUUCUGCCCUUCCAGGAAAAAGGAAAAAAAGAAAAAAAAAAAAAAAAGAAAAAGAAAAGAAAAGAAAUGAAAAACCUAACAAACACCUAAAAAGCCAGAGCAACUGAAAUCUCAGUCUCGAGGAAACACAUGGGAUUGAAGCAUCCGCCGGAGCUCUGUCAUCAAGUGUCGUCUGUGACUCUACCUCGGUGCUAAAGCCUAGCUGUCACCUGGCUGGAGUGAGGAGGAGGCUGUGCGUGCAGGCCAGACACCUAUCAAAAUGGAUUAUGGCUCACCCUAAAGAGCUCAUGCUCACUCAAUUACAUCUACCAAGAUGUAAAUAAGGUCAUAUUCACAGAGCCUAAAGUUAGCCCCAGUUGUUUUCUGUUGCCUACAGACAAAAGGACCUAACUACUAUGAAAAGACUGAUGGAGAGGACACAUAUUGCCCUGCCAAGCCUAUCUGAAACGGUACUCUGGAUUCAUGAUAAAUAAAAUACAUAUUCUAGAAAUGUAAUGAAUGAGGCUCUUCUCUAACUUAUUUCAAUUGAUUUUUCCAGCUCUCAUCAUUGCUCUGUAUUUUAAGCUGAGUCAUUCUUCCCUUCUGAACCAUCCAAAUUGCCAAGGGGUGCAAAAGAGACAAUCACUUUUGUUAUGCUAAUUGCAGGCACCAAUCAUCUUCUUUAUGUUGCCUCCAAUUCCUCAUUGUGGUUUUUAUGAUAUUUGCAGUAUUAAGGAGAUUAAAGAAAAGUACUCCAGAGUUUCUAAUUAGAGCUGUUUUACCAGGGGUCUAAGUGGCACAAUAGAAACAGGGCAAAUGUGAUCUUUUCUUUGUAAAUGUGAUCUUUUCUUUUCUUUGUAAGCAAAGAUUAGCCCAAAGCUUUUAUACUGGCCAACACUAAAUGUCUGUCUUUUGAGUUCGGCUGAUGGGAUUUAAUUUGGUCAAGGUGCAUCAGCCCCCUUCUAUCAUACACUUGUUCCAAUGGUGGCAUGGUAAAUAUGGUUUCGUUUGGCUGGGGUAGGGAGCACACAGGGAGAAUAAGCCACCAAAAUAGCUAUUUUAGAAUUAUAGUGAAUCAUGAAUAUUGUGGUAAGAAUUCUGUACUUAAGUAUAAUUUUUCAACGGUUUUUGAUUAAGGCAAAGAAGUGUGACAUUUAUGCCUGGAACUACAUUAUCCAGUGAUUUCCUGUUUAUGAUGGGUGGAUUUAGCUCUCUUACACAAACUAAGACAUUAAGUAAAAUAUUUAAGACUCAAAAAAAUUUUGUAUCAGUCACAGAUAAUAUGAAUAUUUACUUUGUGAGAAGAGGGUGUAUGUUCCCCAUCUUUUCUUCAUCUUUCUUUUCUCUUAAUACCUGUUGAAUUUGGUCACCUUUUUUUUUUUUUUCUCUUAGUACCUGUUAAAUGCCGUCAUGUUUCCUUUUACCUUAUUGAGAUUGAUAACAUUUGUGUUAACUAUUCUGAGGUUCAGGUUUGACACUGAACUAAAAAAAAUUCUUGAACAAUUGUGUUACAUUAAGACGCCAUGAAUAUUCUUCUCAUGUUUUGAGCUAGAUGGCUAGAAGUAGGGAAAUGGGGAGCACUGUUCAUUGUGGUCCACUGCUCUCUACAGAAACUUUAUCUGGAUGUUUUUGUCCCACUUUUCAUUGUGAUCCAUCUUACAUCCCUCAGUGUCUGAGAAGAGAGACUCUCCAGGUGCUGCAAAUACACAGCUUUCUGCAUUUUCCAGGGAAGCUCUCAAAGAGUACAAAUUCCUGGGCUCUACCUAGGGAUACUGAUUCAGCACCUUUGAGAUAUGCCAAGAUACCUGCAUUUUUUUUUUUUAAUAUCUUCCUUGGCUCAUGCACACGUUCAGUUUGGGGCACCACCAAGAAUGAAGCAGAUGUAGGAGGCUAAUAACAUGGCAAACGACUGGAUGUAGGAAGAACAAAGAGCAAAGGAUCAAAACUGUCUACUAGGUUUUAAGCCUGAGUUGGCUCUCAGAGUGAUAGUACCAUUAGCAUAAAAAGGAAAAGUGAUCAGGAGGAGUAGGUUUUACUUUCUUCCUGAUUUUUACUUCCAGAUAUUGUCCUAAAUGGCACCCCCACAAAAUAUUACUAAAGUGAUCCUUUCGGAAGAAAGAUUGCUAAUAAGAGUGAUGUUAGAUUACAAUAGAAGGAUGAAUAAAUAGAUGUGUAAAUACAUUUUUAGGCUGGAGAACCAGUAUUUAUAUGCACAAAGUAAUCGAUCCACCUUAAACAAUUUAUAAAGGUAAUUAAAAAACAUUUAGGAGUUCCCGUCAUGGCGCAGUGUUUGACGAAUCCAACUAGGAACCAUGAGGUU